UAUUCCCUGGGCAAUGCCGGACUAGCUCAGUGGAUGCCCAGGGGGGGUAGGAACCUAUGCCCGCAGUCCGCACAACAAAACACCGAUUAAUCGGACGUCUCAACAAAACUCCUCACUAACAGAUAACACAUCUCUAACAAACAAAAGUAAACAAACCAAAAAUUGACGACUUUUGCGGAAUGGUGGCAUAGAUGGAGUCGCCACGACGCUCCCGCCCAACCUGUGGUGCCUCCGGUGUGUCUAGGGGCACCACCCAUCUCCGGCGGACCGGAGUCUAAUCCAGGCGGCUCGACGGCCGGCCCAUCUCCCCAGGUAUUUAAGGCUAACAUUGGCAGAGUACAUAUUUGUAACCCAGGUAACACCUCACUUGCUCCCGGCGAGAGCGUGGCCUCAGCCAGGGAUGCGCUCGCGCCAAGGCUGCCAAGCAAAUGUUUCCGGAUAUCGCGGAGGAGAAGCGGCGCUCCGCCAACACACAACAGGCCACAACCUGGCCAAAAGAAUUUGCUACUUCCAACCUGAUAUCCCUACUGGAGCUCCAAGAGAAAUAAAAGGGGAGAGGGUUCUUCUUCGAUUUUGGUUCAGCUUCUUCACCCCUAAUCGGCCCUAUUGCAGCCUUGUGUUGCACAAAUCCCGGACCCAGGGACUACGACAACGCAGAGGACAAAUUACGGCGAUACCAACUAGAAGGCACUAUUGGCGACCCGCAAAUGGCUUCGGUGGCCUGAGUGGCCAGAAAUCGUGACGACUGUUGGCGACGGCUAGCCCGAGGAAAGUAGGGCCAGUAGGACGUAGCCACGGCCACGUCGUUUCGGAGAAGAGGCAGAGCCAAUGGAUGUCCCCAAAUAUGGGUACGAAAA